rnacentral:rRNA from 1 species
AACGAACGCUGGCGGCAGGCCUAACACAUGCAAGUCGAACGCCCCGCAAGGGAGUGGCAGACGGGUGAGUAACACGUGGGAACGUACCCUUCGGUUCGGGAUAACUCAGGGAAACUUGAGCUAAUACCGGAUACGUCCGAGAGGAGAAAGAUUUAUCGCCGAGGGAUUGGCCCGCGUCUGAUUAGCUUGUUGGUGAGGUAACGGCUCACCAAGGCGACGAUCAGUAGCUGGUCUGAGAGGAUGAUCAGCCACAUUGGGACUGAGACACGGCCCAAACUCCUACGGGAGGCAGCAGUGGGGAAUCUUGGACAAUGGGGGAAACCCGUGAUCCAGCCAUGCCGCGUGAGUGAUGAAGGCCCUAGGGUUGUAAAACUCUUUCGGCGGGGACGNUAAAUGACGGUACCCGCAGAAGAAGCUCCGGCUAACUUCGUGCCACGCCGCCGCAGU